rnacentral:rRNA from 1 species
AGAGUUUGAUCAUGGCUCAGGAUAAACGCUGGCGGCGUGCCUAACACAUGCAAGUCGAACGCGGAAAGUGCGGGUAACUGCGCUUUCUGAGUGGCGGACGGGUGAGGAACACGUGGGUUAUCUACCUUGAGGUGAGGAAUACCGGCGAGAAAUCGCCGACAAUACCGCAUACGUUUGGAAACAAACAAAGUUGAGGCAACUCAACGCCACAAGAUGAGCCUGCGGCCGAUUAUGCUGGUUGGUGGGGUAAAGGCCUACCAAGGCGACGAUCGGUAGCUGGUCUGAGAGGACGAUCAGCCACACUGGGAUUGAGAACGGCCCAGACUCCUACGGGGGGCAGCAGUGAGGAAUUUUCGUCAAUGGGGGCAACCCUGAACGAGCAACGCCGCGUGCAGGAAGAAGGUUUUCGGAUCGUAAACUGCUUUUCUUAGGGAAGAGAACGGACGGUACCUAAGGAAGAAGCCCCGGCUAACUACGUGCCAGCAGCCGCGGUAAUACGUAGGGGGCAAGCGUUGUCCGGAUUUAUUGGGCGUAAAGGGCGUGCAGGCGGUCUUAAUAGUUUCAAGUGACAGGUGGGGGCUUAACUCCCACAGGCCGUGGAAAACUGUAAGACUUGAGGACUUCAGAGGGAUGCGGAAUUCCAGGUGGAGCGGUGAAAUGCGUAGAGAUCUGGAAGAACACCAAAGGCGAAGGCAGCAUCCUGGGAAGAACCUGACGCUGAGGCGCGAAAGCUAGGGGAGCGAACGGGAUUAGAUACCCUAGUAGUCC